ensembl:lncRNA
UAGGCUGUCAUGCCAUGUCACCAUAAUUCUUCAAUAUUUAAUUAAAAACCACAACAACUUAAUAUUCAAGUCCUGUCAAGAAAACUAAUUGGAUACAGAGACCAGCUGCUGGAGAAGUUUGGAUGUCAACUCCAAAUGUGCUUAGGCAGGGUCUGUCUGCAGACCAGUGACCUGACUGCCAUGGAGGGAGAGCAGCUCCGAGGAUAUUCCCAGCUGUGAAUCCUCCUGUGCCAUCCCUGUUCCCCACCGUGCAGGAUUUUAUGCAAAUUGCAGGAAAAGCAGCACUGCCAUCACCACCGUCUCCCUUAAUAAAUCCUGUAAUGGACUCCACGCCUCUACGUCGCAGCCCACGAGGGACAAGCUGCCCUGUGCGAGCCUCGGUCUUUGGAUUUUUUUUUCCAGUGCUGGUACAAUUUUAUGGAAUAGCUACAAAGAGAAGAGCUGGCCUCGCUCUCCCUGUUUCCACUACUCCGUCCCCUCCUUGGAGGAUUUACUUGUGAAUUACACUUCCAGGGCUGAGAAGAGAUUCAAGCUGCGUGGUCGCAGUUAUACCGAGCAGGGGACAGGGGCCAGCAGGACUGAAGUUGGCGAGUGCACGCCGUGGAGGUGUCCUGGUAGCCAAACAGGUGCUGCUGAAAGCACCUCUGUGAGCCUCCAGACUGCUGGCACAUGUUGGUUGGGUGAUGGAGGGACUAAGGAGGCCUCCGGAGGAAAAGAAAGGAAGAGCCAGGGAAUGAUGCUGGACCUCGCCUCAGGUGGGCUGGCAAGUGCUCACACUGGCGUGCUGUGAAAGCUGUCUUCUCCAAGAUGACAUGGGUGGAAAGGUGACCAAGGAUGGGAACGUUUUACGUGCUCUGUUCUUGGUGCUGGUGCACCCCGCUGCUCCUGGCUGGGUGGCACCAUCACAAAGCAGAGCAACACACAGGGAGCCCAGCAUAUUACCAAUAGCUCUCAGACCCACGCAUCAGUCAGUGUGGAACAACCUCUGAAACAUCUGCAGGGAAAUAUCUGUUGUGAGGAUGGCAAGGGCUAAUAGGGGGUUCUGAAGCAUCCACUGCAGCUGUCUGCAGCUCAUCCAGUCUUUGCUGAUAUUGCCUGCUUGGGAGGAACGUGCAAAGAUGUAAGAGAUGAAAAGAAGGCUGCCAUAAAGUACUAACAGUAUAAAAACUCCAUUGUCCUACCAUUUCCAGAUGUUUUAUAGCAUUGGAUCUCCAUUCGUUUAAGUGAACCUCGCUGAUUUACUCUGGUAACCCAGUGCAGCAUCAGUUCCUGUGAUAUCUUGUUGGUCUGAAAGAAGAUGAGUAGCACCUCAGAACUAGAAGGACAUAACCAGUCUUCUCUGCCUAUGAUCUGCAAGAGCUUUCUGCUCACUUUAUGUGGGAAAAUAAUUCUGUAACAGCAGCCCAUGCUGUUACAGCCAGGCUUGCCAUAGCUUGUGGAACAUUAACCCAAGUACUACUUUCGAAAUACUUGAGGAAAUAUGGGGAAAUAUGUCUCCUCAGAUGAAUCUCCAGAAAGAAUUUAGUUCCUCCCUUUUCCUUCAUUCCAACUUGGAUCCUUUGUCAGAUCUGGAGCCUACAUAUGUUCAUGGCUCAGGGAUGAGGGAGGUGAUCAGGGUGCAAAGGUGGAAAGCAAAAAGAAAAAAAAAUGGAGUAAAAAACCACAAGUAGGAAGGAAGCUGUUGGUUGUACAGUCUGAUCCAUGCUAUGGCUCAUAAUUAUUACUUGCAACAGCAAAUGUUGAUGUAAGUGCUGCAGAGUGCCAGUAACUAGCAGGCAU